ACGACGCUGGCGGCGUGCUUAACACAUGCAAGUCGAACGGUGACGAGGAGCUUGCUCCUCUGAUCAGUGGCGAACGGGUGAGUAACACGUGAGCAACCUGCCCCAGACUCUGGGAUAACAGUUGGAAACAGCUGCUAAUACCGGAUACGAGACGGAGAGGCAUCUCUACCGUCUGGAAAGUUUUUCGGUCUGGGAUGGACUCGCGGCCUAUCAGCUAGUUGGUGAGGUAAUGGCUCACCAAGGCGACGACGGGUAGCCGGCCUGAGAGGGCGACCGGCCACACUGGGACUGAGACACGGCCCAGACUCCUACGGGAGGCAGCAGUCGAGAAUAGUCUACAAUGGCCGGAAGGCUGAUAGUGCGACGCCGCGUGAACGAGGGAGCCCUUCGGGGUGUAAAGUUCUUUUCUAUACGAGCAGUGCUAUAUAUAUGGAUAGUAUAUAUAGAGGGAUAGUAGUAUAGGAAUAAGCAACGGCUAACUCCGUG
rnacentral:rRNA from 1 species